rnacentral:rRNA from 1 species
AUACGUAAGUCCCAAGCGUUACCCGGAAUUAUUGGGUGUAAAGGGUUCGUAGGUGGACCUAUAAGUCAGGUAUGAAAGACCGGAGCUCAACUCCGUGUUUGUGCUUGAAACUGUAGGUCUAGAAUCAGGGAGAGGUUAGCGGAAUUCUUAGUGUAGGGGUGCAAUCCGUAGAUACUAAGAAGAACACCAAAAGCGAAGGCAGCUAACUGGAACUGUAUUGACACUGAGGAACGAAAGCGUGGGGAGCGAAGAGGAUUAGAUACCCUCGUAGUCCACGCCCUAAACGAUGAUAACUAAGUGUUGGGAAUUGUCCCAGUGCUGUAGCUAACGCGUUAAGUUAUCCACCUGAGGAGUACGGUCGCAAGAUUAAAACUCAAAAUGAAUUGACGGGGGCCCGCGACAAGCGGUGGAGCAUGUGGUUUAAUUCGAAGCAACGCGAAGAACCUUACCUACACUUGACAUCCAGAGAACUUUCUAGAGAUAGAUUGGUGCCUUGGGAACUCUGAGACAGGUGCUGCAUGGC